UACGUAGGGUGCGAGCGUUGUCCGGAAUUACUGGGCGUAAAGAGCCUGUAGGUGGUUUGUCGCGUUGUUCGUGAAAUCUCACGGCUUAACUGUGAGCGUGCGGGCGAUACGGGCAGACUAGAGUACUGCAGGGGAGACUGGAAUUCCUGGUGUAGCGGUGGAAUGCGCAGAUAUCAGGAGGAACACCGGUGGCGAAGGCGGGUCUCUGGGCAGUAACUGACGCUGAGAAGCGAAAGCGUGGGGAGCGAACAGG
rnacentral:rRNA from 1 species